rnacentral:rRNA from 1 species
CAAGAAAUAACAAUACAGGGCGAAUGUCUUGUAAUUGGAAUGAUGGUGACCCAAACCCUCACCAGAGUAGCAAUUGGAGGGCAAGUCUGGUGCCAGCAGCCGCGGUAAUUCCAGCUCCAAUAGCGUAUAUUAAACUUGUUGCAGUUAAAAAGCUCGUAGUUGUAUUUUUGCGUUAGCGGUUUGACCAUUUGGUUGGUUAUUUCGUUUUCGCUUUUGGGAAUUUCCCUUUUUACUUUGAGAAAAUUAGAGUGUUUCAAGCAGACUUUUGUCUUGAAUACUUCAGCAUGGAAUAAUAGA